UGGGGGAUCGUCUAAUCGGCAGGACAGCGGACUCUGGAUCCGCCAGUCGAGGUUCGAAUCCUCGUCCCCCAG
rnacentral:tRNA from 2 species